UCAUUAUAACAGCCGUUGUUUCCUUGAGAUAAAAACUACUUGGAUAACUGUGGUAAUUCUAGAGCUAAUACACGCAACAAAGCUCUGACCUUUCGGGAAGAGUGCAUUUAUUAGAACAAAACCAAUCGGGCCUCGGCCUGUCGUUUGGUGAAUCUGAAUAACCGAGCAGAUCGCACAGUCUUUGCACUGGCGACGCAUCUUUCAAGUGUCUGCCUUAUCAACUUUCGAUGGUAGUUUAUGUGACUACCAUGGUUAUAACGGGUAACGGAGAAUCAGGGUUCGACUCCGGAGAGGGAGCCUGAGAAAUGGCUACCACAUCCAAGGAAGGCAGCAGGCGCGCAAAUUACCCAUUCUCAGAACGAGGAGGUAGUGACGAAAAAUAACGAGGUGGUUCUCUAUGAGGCCCACUAUCGGAAUGAUGACAAUUUAAAUCCUUUACAAAGGAUCUAGCGGAGGGCAAGUCUGGUGCCAGCAGCCGCGGUAAUUCCAGCUCCGCCAGUGUAUACCUAUGCUGCUGAGGUUAAAAAGCUCGUAGUUGGAUCUGCAUACUUGGAGCCGGUCUAUCCACUGGAUAAGAACUGGUGUCCAGUAUUAAAUCUGUUGGUUUUCCCUUGGUGCUCUUC
rnacentral:rRNA from 1 species